CAGUAGCCGCGGUAAUACGAAGGGGGCUAGCGUUGUUCGGAAUUACUGGGCGUAAAGCGCACGUAGGCGGACAUUUAAGUCAGGGGUGAAAUCCCGGGGCUCAACCCCGGAACUGCAUUUGAUACUGGGUGUCUAGAGUAUGGGAGAGGUGAGUGGAAUUCCGAGUGUAGAGGUGAAAUUCGUAGAUAUUCGGAGGAACACCAGUGGCGAAGGCGGCUCACUGGUCCAUUACUGACGCUGAGGUGCGAAAGCGUGGGGAGCAAACAGGAUUAGAUACCCCAGUAGUCCCUGUCUCUUAUAC
rnacentral:rRNA from 1 species